AGUGAACGCUGGCGGUAGGCCUAACACAUGCAAGUCGAACGGCAGCACAGUAAGAGCUUGCUCUUACGGGUGGCGAGUGGCGGACGGGUGAGGAAUACAUCGGAAUCUACUUUUUCGUGGGGGAUAACGUAGGGAAACUUACGCUAAUACCGCAUACGACCUACGGGUGAAAGCAGGGGAUCUUCGGACCUUGCGCGAUUGAAUGAGCCGAUGUCGGAUUAGCUAGUUGGUGGGGUAAAGGCCCACCAAGGCGACGAUCCGUAGCUGGUCUGAGAGGAUGAUCGGCGACAAUGGAACUGAGACACGGUCCAGACUCCUACGGGAGGCAGCAGUGGGGAAUAUUGGACAAUGGGCGCAAGCCUGAUCCAGCCAUACCGCGUGGGUGAAGAAGGCCUUCGGGUUGUAAAGCCCUUUUGUUGGGAAAGAAAAGCAGCAGGUUAAUACCCCGCUGUUCUGACGGUACCCAAAGAAUAAGCACCGGCUAACUUCGUG
rnacentral:rRNA from 1 species